GAUGAACGCUAGCGGCAGGCUUAACACAUGCAAGUCGAGGGGCAGCAUAAAUAGUAGCAAUACUAUUGGUGGCGACCGGCGGACGGGUGCGUAACGCGUAUACAACCUUCCCUAAACAGGGGGAUAAUCUGGAGAAAUUCGGUCUAAUACCCCAUAACAUCAGAGCAGGCAUCUGUUUUGGUUAAAAUUUCCGGAGGUUUAGGAUGGGUAUGCGUAGCAUUAGCUAGUUGGUGAGGUAACGGCUCACCAAGGCGACGAUGCUUAGGGGGACUGAGAGGUUAACCCCCCACACUGGUACUGAGACACGGACCAGACUCCUACGGGAGGCAGCAGUGAGGAAUAUCGGUCAAUGGGCGGAAGCCUGAACCAGCCAUGCCGCGUGCAGGAUGACGGCUCUAUGAAUUGUAAACUGCUUUUGUACGAGGGUAAAGUGGGCUACGUGUAGCCUUUUGAAAGUAUCGUACGAAUAAGGAUCGGCUAACUCCGUGCCAGCCGCCGCGGUAA
rnacentral:rRNA from 1 species